rnacentral:tRNA from 1 species
GCGCCCGUAGCUCAACCGGAUAGAGCACCUGCCUUCUAAAGAAUGUUGUGGGUUCGAGUCCCGCCGGGCGCGCCA